rnacentral:rRNA from 1 species
CCUACGGGAGGCAGCAGUGGGGAAUAUUGCACAAUGGCGGAAACCCUGAUGCAGCGACGCCGCGUGAGUGAAGAAGGAAUUCGUUAUGUAAAGCUCUAUCAGCAGGGAAGAAAAUGACGCUACCUGAGUAAGAAGCCACGGGUAACUACGUGCCAGCAGCCGCGGUAAUACGUCGGGGGCACGCGUUAUCCGGAUUUACUGGGUGUAAAGGGAGCGUAGGCGGGAGUGCAAGUCUGGAGUGAAAGGCGGGGGCUCAACCCCCGGACUGCUGUCGAAACUGGACGGCUGGAGUGCAGGAGAGGUAAGUGGAAGUCCUAGUGUAGCGGUGAAAUGCGUAGAUAUUAGGAGGAACACCAGUGGCGAAGGCGGCUUACUGGACUGUAACUGACGUUGAGGCUCGAAAGCGUGGGGAGCAAACAGGAUUAGAUACCCGUGUAGUC